UACGGGGGGGGUAAGCGUUGUUCGGAAUUACUGGGCGUAAAGGGCUCGUAGGCGGCCAACUAAGUCAUACGUGAAAUCCCUCAGCUUAACUGGGGAACUGCGUGUGAUACUGGAUGGCUUGGAUUUGGGAGAGGGAUGCGGAAUUCCAGGUGUAGCGGUGAAAUGCGUAGAUAUCUGGAGGAACACCGGUGGCGAAGGCGGCAUCCUGGACCAAUAUUGACGCUGAGGAACGAAAGCGUGGGGAGCGAACAGG
rnacentral:rRNA from 1 species